AUUGAACGCUGGCGGCAGGCCUAACACAUGCAAGUCGAACGAGUCGCGGACGUGUGAGUAAUGUCUGUGAAACUGCCUGAUGGAUGGGGAUAACUACUGGAAACUGUAGCUAAUACCGCAUACCAUCAGAUGUGCCCAGAUGGCAUUAGCUUGUUGGUGGGGUAAAGGCUCACCAAGGCGACGAUCCCUAGCUGGUCUGAGAGGAUGACCAGCCACACUGGAACUGAGACACGGUCCAGACUCCUACGGGAGGCAGUAGUGGGGAAUAUUGCACAAUGGGCGAAAGCCUGAUACAGCCAUGCCGCGUGUAUGAAGAAGGUCUUCGGAUUGUAAAGUACUUUCAGCGGGGAGGCGUUACCCACAGAAGAAGCACCGGCUAACUCCGUGCCAGCAGCCGCGGUAAUAC
rnacentral:rRNA from 1 species